GAUGAACGCUGGCGGCGUGCCUAAUACAUGCAAGUCGAGCGAACGGACGAGAAGCUUGCUUCUCUGAUGUUAGCGGCGGACGGGUGAGUAACACGUGGAUAACCUACCUAUAAGACUGGGAUAACUUCGGGAAACCGGAGCUAAUACCGGAUAAUAUUUUGAACCGCAUGGUUCAAAAGUGAAAGACGGUCUUGCUGUCACUUAUAGAUGGAUCCGCGCUGCAUUAGCUAGUUGGUAAGGUAACGGCUUACCAAGGCAACGAUGCGUAGCCGACCUGAGAGGGUGAUCGGCCACACUGGAACUGAGACACGGUCCAGACUCCUACGGGAGGCAGCAGUAGGGAAUCUUCCGCAAUGGGCGAAAGCCUGACGGAGCAACGCCGCGUGAGUGAUGAAGGUCUUCGGAUCGUAAAACUCUGUUAUUAGGGAAGAACAUAUGUGUAAGUAACUGUGCACAUCUUGACGGUACCUAAUCAGAAAGCCACGGCUAACUACGUGCCAGCAGCCGCGGUAAUACGUAGGUGGCAAGCGUUAUCCGGAAUUAUUGGGCGUAAAGCGCGCGUAGGCGGUUUUUUAAGUCUGAUGUGAAAGCCCACGGCUCAACCGUGGAGGGUCAUUGGAAACUGGAAAACUUGAGUGCAGAAGAGGAAAGUGGAAUUCCAUGUGUAGCGGUGAAAUGCGCAGAGAUAUGGAGGAACACCAGUGGCGAAGGCGACUUUCUGGUCUGUAACUGACGCUGAUGUGCGAAAGCGUGGGGAUCAAACAGGAUUAGAUACCCUGGUAGUCCACGCCGUAAACGAUGAGUGCUAAGUGUUAGGGGGUUUCCGCCCCUUAGUGCUGCAGCUAACGCAUUAAGCACUCCGCCUGGGGAGUACGACCGCAAGGUUGAAACUCAAAGGAGUUGACGGGGACCCGCACAAGCGGUGGAGCAUGUGGUUUAAUUCGAAGCAACGCGAAGAACCUUACCAAAUCUUGACAUCCUUUGACAACUCUAGAGAUAGAGCCUUCCCCUUCGGGGGACAAAGUGACAGGUGGUGCAUGGUUGUCGUCAGCUCGUGUCGUGAGAUGUUGGGUUAAGUCCCGCAACGAGCGCAACCCUUAAGCUUAGUUGCCAUCAUUAAGUUGGGCACUCUAAGUUGACUGCCGGUGACAAACCGGAGGAAGGUGGGGAUGACGUCAAAUCAUCAUGCUCCUUAUGAUUUGGGCUACACACGUGCUACAAUGGACAAUACAAAGGGCAGCGAAACCGCGAGGUCAAGCAAAUCCCAUAAAGUUGUUCUCAGUUCGGAUUGUAGUCUGCAACUCGACUACAUGAAGCUGGAAUCGCUAGUAAUCGUAGAUCAGCAUGCUACGGUGAAUACGUUCCCGGGUCU
rnacentral:rRNA from 1 species